GAUCCUGGCUCAGGACGAACGCUGGCGGCGUGCCUAACACAUACAAGUCGAACGAGAAUCAAUGGAUGGAGUUUUCGGACAACUGAAGUUGAGGAAAGUGGCGGACGGGUGAGUAACGCGUGAGCAACCUGCCUUGGAGUGGGGGACAACAGAGGGAAACUUCUGCUAAUACCGCAUAAAGUGCCGUGAGGGCAUCCUCGUGGCACCAAAGAUUUAUCGCUCUGAGAUGGGCUCGCGU
rnacentral:rRNA from 1 species